rnacentral:rRNA from 1 species
AGAGGUCCCGAGCGUUGUUCGGAUUCACUGGGCGUAAAGGGUGCGUAGGUGGUGAGGUAAGUCGGAUGUGAAAGCUCCAAGCUCAACUUGGAAAUGGCAUUGGAAACUACCUUGCUAGAGGGUUUGAGGGGGGACUGGAAUACUUGGUGUAGCAGUGAAAUGCGUAGAUAUCAAGUGGAACACCAGUGGCGAAGGCGAGUCCCUGGAAAACUCCUGACACUGAGGCACGAAAGCUAGGGGAGCAAACAGGAUUAGAUACCCUGGUAGUCCUAGCCGUAAACGGUGCGUAUUUGCUGUAAAAGGAAUCGACCCCUUUUGUGGCGUAGCCAACGCGUUAAAUACGCCGCCUGGGAAGUACGGUCGCAAGAUUA